rnacentral:rRNA from 1 species
GACGAACGCUGGCGGCGUGCUUAACACAUGCAAGUCGAACGGAAAGGCCCUGCUUGCAGGGUACUCGAGUGGCGAACGGGUGAGUAACACGUGGGGGAUCUGCCCUGCACUUCGGGAUAAGCCUGGGAAACUGGGUCUAAUACCGGAUAGGAGCCAUUCUUAGUGUGAUGGUUGGAAAGUUUUUUCGGUGUAGGAUGAGCUCGCGGCCUAUCAGCUUGUUGGUGGGGUAAUGGCCUACCAAGGCGGCGACGGGUAGCCGGCCUGAGAGGGUGGACGGCCACAUUGGGACUGAGAUACGGCCCAGACUCCUACGGGAGGCAGCAGUGGGGAAUAUUGCACAAUGGGCGCAAGCCUGAUGCAGCGACGCCGCGUGGGGGAUGACGGCCUUCGGGUUGUAAACUCCUUUCGCUAGGGACGAAGCUUUUUGUGACGGUACCUAGAGAAGAAGCACCGGCUAACUACGUG